AUGAACGCUAGCGACAGGCUUAACACAUGCAAGUCGAGGGGCAGCACAGGUAGCAAUACCGGGUGGCGACCGGCGCACGGGUGAGUAACGCGUAUGCAACUUGCCUAUCAGAGGGGGAUAACCCGGCGAAAGUCGGACUAAUACCGCAUGAAGCAGGGGCCCCGCAUGGGGAUAUUUGCUAAAGAUUCAUCGCUGAUAGAUAGGCAUGCGUUCCAUUAGGCAGUUGGCGGGGUAACGGCCCACCAAACCGACGAUGGAUAGGGGUUCUGAGAGGAAGGUCCCCCACAUUGGUACUGAGACACGGACCAAACUCCUACGGGAGGCAGCAGUGAGGAAUAUUGGUCAAUGGCCGAGAGGCUGAACCAGCCAAGUCGCGUGAGGGAUGAAGGUUCUAUGGAUCGUAAACCUCUUUUAUAAGGGAAUAAAGUGCGGGACGUGUCCCGUUUUGUAUGUACCUUAUGAAUAAGGAUCGGCUAACUCCGUGCCAGCAGCCGCGGUAAUACGGAGGAUCCGAGCGUUAUCCGGAUUUAUUGGGUUUAAAGGGUGCGUAGGCGGCCUUUUAAGUCAGCGGUGAAAGUCUGUGGCUCAACCAUAGAAUUGCCGUUGAAACUGGGGGGCUUGAGUAUGUUUGAGGCAGGCGGAAUGCGUGGUGUAGCGGUGAAAUGCAUAGAUAUCACGCAGAACCCCGAUUGCGAAGGCAGCCUGCCAAGCCAUUACUGACGCUGAUGCACGAAAGCGUGGGGAUCAAACAGGAUUAGAUACCCUGGUAGUCCACGCAGUAAACGAUGAUCACUAGCUGUUUGCGAUACACUGUAAGCGGCACAGCGAAAGCGUUAAGUGAUCCACCUGGGGAGUACGCCGGCAACGGUGAAACUCAAAGGAAUUGACGGGGGCCCGCACAAGCGGAGGAACAUGUGGUUUAAUUCGAUGAUACGCGAGGAACCUUACCCGGGUUUGAACGCAUUCGGACCGAGGUGGAAACACCUUUUCUAGCAAUAGCCGUUUGCGAGGUGCUGCAUGGUUGUCGUCAGCUCGUGCCGUGAGGUGUCGGCUUAAGUGCCAUAACGAGCGCAACCCUUGCCACUAGUUACUAACAGGUAAAGCUGAGGACUCUGGUGGGACUGCCAGCGUAAGCUGCGAGGAAGGCGGGGAUGACGUCAAAUCAGCACGGCCCUUACAUCCGGGGCGACACACGUGUUACAAUGGCGUGGACAAAGGGAAGCCACCUGGCGACAGGGAGCGAAUCCCCGAACCACGUCUCAGUUCGGAUCGGAGUCUGCAACCCGACUCCGUGAAGCUGGAUUCGCUAGUAAUCGCGCAUCAGCCAUGGCGCGGUGAAUACGUUCCCGGGCCUUGUACACACCGCCCGUCAAGCCAUGGGAGCCGGGGGUACCUGAAGUCCGUAACCGCGAGGAUCGGCCUAGGGUAAAACUGGUGACUGGGGCU
rnacentral:rRNA from 1 species